AUACGUAGGGGGCGAGCGUUGUCCGGAAUGAUUGGGCGUAAAGGGCGCGUAGGCGGCGCGGUAAGUCUGGAGUGAAAGUCCUGCUUUCAAGGUGGGAAUUGCUUUGGAUACUGCCGCGCUUGAGUGCAGGAGAGGUUAUCGGAAUUCCCGGUGUAGCGGUGAAAUGCGUAGAGAUCGGGAGGAACACCAGUGGCGAAGGCGGGUAACUGGACUGCAACUGACGCUGUGGCGCGAAAGUGUGGGGAGCAAACAGGAUUAGAUACCCUGGUAGUCCACACUGUAAACGAUGAAUGCUAGGUGUAAGAGGUAUCGACCCCUUUUGUGCCGGAGUCAACACAAUAAGCAUUCCGCCUGGGGAGUACGGCCGCAAGGUUGAAACUCAAAUGAAUUGACGGGG
rnacentral:rRNA from 1 species